rnacentral:lncRNA from 1 species
UAGGAAGCACCGACACCUCUAUGAUUAGGUGUGUCGCGGUGUCCGACACGUGUCGGUGUCCGACACUCGUAUGACACUCGUCCGACACGUGUCGGAUAGCUCAUAUCGGUGUCGGAAAAAAUUCAAUUUUUUCUUUAGUUUGACACUCUUUUGAUCGGUGUCCGACACCUGUAAGACACUCGGAUGACACGUGUCGGACAAGUGUCCCAAAAAAUAAUUAUUUUUCCUUUGCUUAUACUCUCUUUAGGCACAUAUUAGACAUAUCUACAAGAGUUAAAGAUGUGUAGAAACAAUAAUAUUGAUCAAUGUGGGAUUGAAGACAUUACAUUUUGAUUACGAUAUUUUUAGUUUUUUCGAUCGUAGAUGGAUAAAUAAAGGUAAAAUACUAUCAUAUCUUGUUUUAAAUUUUUUUUAAAAUAUAACUUGCUCAAAUUAGAUUUACGUGUAUAUAUUUUGAUUAUCAAUUUAUAUGUUUUAUAAAUAUGUAGCGGUGUCGGUGUCCUAUAUUUUUUAUAUUAGCGGUGUCGUGGUGUCCGUGUCCGUGUCGUGUCGCGGUGUCCGUGUCGGAGUCCGUG